UGGACAAUGAGCCGGGCCGCUGGAAGCUGCGGCCACUUAUAGGGGAACGUGGGCGGGCCCGCGGCUCAGCCGCUCCACCUGCGAGGAGAGGGCGGGAUGCCAGAGCCAGGUGUCCCGGCGCGCUAAGGCCCCUCACGGCGAGGCGUCUCUGAGCUGGUCUUCGCGUUGCCACUGGGCUGCCUGCAGGUUUUGGCUGGGACGGUUUCCUGCGGGGAGCCCUCGGAGCAGCCUCGAUGGCCAGCACCAGGAGCAUUGAGCUGGAACACUUUGAGGAACGGGACAAAAGGCCGCGGCCAGGGUCGCGGAGAGGGGCGCCCAGCUCCUCCGGGGGCAGCAGCAGCUCGGGCCCCAAGGGCAACGGGCUCAUCCCUAGCCCGGCGCACAGUGCCCACUGCAGCUUCUACCGCACGCGGACCCUGCAGGCCCUGAGCUCGGAGAAGAAGGCCAAGAAAGCGCGCUUUUACCGGAAUGGGGACCGCUACUUCAAGGGCUUGCUGUUUGCCAUCUCCAGCGACCGCUUCCGGUCCUUCGAUGCGCUGCUCAUGGAGCUCACCCGCUCCCUGUCCGACAACGUGAACCUGCCCCAGGGUGUCCGCACCAUCUACACCAUCGACGGCAGCAAGAAGGUCACCAGCUUGGACGAGCUGCUGGAAGGUGAGAGCUACGUAUGUGCGUCGAACGAACCAUUUCGUAAAGUUGAUUACACCAAAAAUACUAAUCCGAACUGGUCUGUGAACAUCAAGGGUGGGGCAACCCGUGCCGCGGCAGCUCCCUCCUCGGUGAAGAGCGAGGUGAAGGAAAGUAAAGAUUUCAUCAAACCCAAGUUAGUGACUGUGAUCCGGAGUGGCGUGAAGCCUAGGAAAGCCGUGCGGAUCCUUCUCAAUAAGAAGACUGCUCAUUCCUUUGAACAAGUCUUAACAGAUAUCACCGAAGCCAUUAAACUAGACUCAGGAGUGGUCAAGAGGCUCUGCACACUGGACGGGAAGCAGGUUACUUGCCUGCAAGACUUUUUUGGUGAUGAUGAUGUUUUUAUUGCAUGUGGACCUGAAAAAUUCCGUUAUGCCCAAGACGACUUUGUCCUGGAUCACAGCGAAUGUCGUGUCUUGAAGUCGUCUUAUUCUCGCUCCCCAGCUAAGUAUUCUGGAUCCAAAAGCCCUGGGUUCUCUCGACGCAGCAAAUCGCCAGCCUCAGUUAACGGGACUCCGAGCAGCCAGCUCUCCACUCCUAAGUCGACGAAGUCCUCCAGUUCCUCUCCAACUAGCCCAGGGAGUUUCAGAGGACUAAAGCAGAUUUCUGCACACGGCAGAUCUUCUUCCAACAUAAAUGGUGGACCAGAACUUGAUCGCUGCAUGAGUCCUGAAGGAGUGAAUGGAAACAGGUGCUCUGAAUCCUCGACACUUCUUGAGAAAUAUAAAAUCGGAAAGGUUAUUGGUGAUGGCAAUUUUGCAGUCGUCAAAGAGUGUGUAGACAGGUCCACUGGGAAGGAGUUUGCCCUGAAGAUCAUAGACAAAGCGAAAUGCUGCGGAAAGGAGCACCUGAUUGAGAACGAAGUGUCCAUCCUGCGCCGGGUGAAACACCCGAACAUCAUCAUGCUGGUUGAGGAGAUGGAAACGGCCACUGAGCUCUUUCUGGUGAUGGAACUGGUCAAAGGCGGAGACCUCUUUGAUGCAAUCACCUCUUCAACCAAGUACACCGAGCGCGACGGCAGUGCCAUGGUGCACAACCUGGCCAACGCCCUCAGGUACCUCCACGGCCUCAGCAUCGUGCACAGAGACAUCAAGCCGGAGAACCUCCUGGUGUGUGAGUAUCCCGAUGGCACCAAGUCUCUGAAGCUGGGCGACUUUGGGCUGGCCACGGUGGUGGAAGGCCCCCUGUACACCGUCUGCGGCACCCCGACUUACGUGGCCCCAGAAAUCAUUGCCGAAACCGGCUAUGGCUUGAAGGUGGACGUUUGGGCGGCUGGCGUGAUCACGUACAUACUCCUCUGUGGGUUCCCGCCUUUCCGAAGUGAGAACAAUCUUCAGGAAGAUCUCUUUGACCAGAUCUUGGCUGGGAAGCUGGAGUUUCCAGCCCCCUAUUGGGAUAACAUCACAGACUCGGCAAAGGAAUUAAUCAGUCAGAUGCUUCAGGUCAACGUUGAAGCUCGCUGCACCGCGGGAGACAUCCUGAGUCACCCCUGGGUGUCCGACGACGCCUCCCAGGAGAACAACAUGCAGGCCGAAGUCACAGGGAAACUGAAGCAGCACUUCACCAACGCGCUGCCCAAACACAACAGCACCACCACCGGGGUCUCCGUCAUCGUGAACACGGCUCUAGAUAAGGAGGGGCAGAUCUUCGGCAGCAAACCCUGUCAGGACAGCGGCCGACCCUUGGUGGAGCCCUCCUGUCCAGUUCCUCCCUGUGCUGAGGAGCCCCUGGUGCCAGGGCCGGCAGCCCCGGCUCCUGCCCCGCCGCAGUCUCCCACGCCCCCCUGCCCUCCCGCUGCCACGGGCUGUGAGCGGGCAGGGACCUGGCGCCGCCACCGUGACUGAUGCUGGCAGGCAGGCCAGAGCCUGGACGGCCGGUCCUCAGGCCGCCACACGACCCGGUUCACGGCCUGGGCUGCGCCCUCCAGUUCCCAGGGUGUCACAUGCAGCCUCAGCCUUGGUGACAGGUGUUCAGAGCGGCUUGUUUUCAAUUAUCUUACUUUCGGUUCAACAGACAUUUUACAGUGGCACCAGGAGAAUGUGCAACUUUUUUCCAGGAUUUAAUGCAUUUUUCUAGAAACACUUCAGAUGAGCCAAGACCUCUCCCUUAUUUAAAGAAACUCGGAGCGCUCCCUUUUUCUUACAAAGAACUUUGAACUGCAUCUGCCCCUCGGCGGGUGUCCUGUGAAAGGUGACGUGGCAUCUUCCUUGGUGGACGGGGUUGGAGGACUGGCUUUCCACCGGGAGAAACGACGUGGAGAGACAAUCCGGCCUCCGCACUGAUCCCACCCAGGGUCUGCUAAGGGCUUCCGGGCACUGCCACGCGGCCCCGGGUGCUGGGCUCACUGCAGACAGCACAGGGCAUCUGUUUGUGCACGGACCGCAGGGGAGGGAGGGCACUUUCUCCCCCAGACAUCGUGUGUUUCCUCCCAACUCUCCCACAUGUGAAUUAAGAAUGCUGACGAAGCCGUCACCUGGGCCUUUUUCCUGAAACGGCCGGCGCAGGCGGCGUCAGCGGCAUCAGCUCUAGCGGAGCAGGAUGGCCCGGGCGUCCGCAGCGCUUCUCUCCGGGGCCGCGGACACCGCAGCCUGGGAGACCGCAGCAGCAGAGGCCCUGGGCGAAGGUGCUCCGCAGACCCCUCCGUAUCACCCUUCGGAAGGCUGCUGGCAGUUUUCCCUGUUUUCCACCACUCUGCUCUUUUUAAUGACUGUACAUAGUAGUGUUUGUCCUACCUGCUCGCCUUCUAAACCGGCGGGCCCUGUAGUUCCUUUGCACUGUUAGAUUUUUUCCCCACAUGUGUACCCGACCUGCAAUAAACUCUUAUUGAGAAAAAGGAGUCGGGUGGGCAGAGGUUUCUGUCUCCUUUUUCGAAGGGUGCGUGGUCAUGGGCCCAGGUGCCGGGAUGUUUGACAAGUCCUGGGGGCUGCUGGGGGAGGAGAGAAUGGUGCUUGGGGAGUGUCUUCUUGGAGGCUAUUCGAUUACAGGUGCAGCUACACAUGCCGCAGAGCUGGACAGGGGUCGUGGACAUGCGACGGAUCUUACAGCAGCCACGGCAGGAGCUGGGGUGAUCAGCAUCUAAAGACCUUGAUUGACCUUGGGAAAGGGGUAGAAAAGACAAGCAGUGACCUGCCGGAGCCGUCUCGAGGCCCAGCAGUUGAGCCAGGAGCCUGUGAGCAUGUGUCUCUUCGUGGGGGCCGCUGUGACGUGGGAAUGUGCGGAACAUGUGAAUUAAAAGUGUUCAGCAGACCCUUCCCGGAGUAUUUCCGUGGGUCGCCGUGUGGUGUGGGAGGCAGGAGGGAAGCAGCCCGGCCAUGUUGGCAGGACGGCUGCGGACGGACACAGCACCGAGUUGGAGAGAGGCGGCUAGGGCAGCUGGCCGGCCCACGGGGGGAGAAAGUAAGCUACGCAGUUCGCCGUUUUCUGGUGCCAGAUCACAAAAAGUUGAGAGAGGAACAGGGGAGAGUAACAGUAUCAUGUUUUAUUUAACGCGAUAUAUCUAAAUACAUUCCAAAGCAUUAUUUCAGCUUGUCAUCAACAUUUAACCACCCCUGGGAUAUGGUACGUUUUCCGAACUAAGUCUUUGAAACGGGUGUGUGUUCACGCUGAAGGCACAUGUCGGGGUGGGUGAGGCUCAUUCACGCCCCGAUGGCCGCCCCUGGCUGUGCUGUGGCUCUUCAGAGAGGCCUUGGCCGCCUCUCUGUCCUCACUGCUGUGUGGUUCGUGCCCCUGACGUGAACAGUGACAUGGGGAGCAGGCUGCUCUGCUGGUUUAAGUGUGGAGUGGAUGGAAUGAUUCCAACACUUGUGCAGACGAAGCACCUGGUGUCUGAGUGUGGGCUGUGCCCGUGGGCCGUGCCGGACGCGGAGGGUUCAGUGGUCGCUGUUUCCUUAGAUGCCGACAGAGUGGUAUACACGUCGGCACCGUCCUAGGCCGCACUGUGAGGGGCGUGUGCAGACUGUGGCAGUGUGACGCGGCCUUCCUGGGUAUGAGCUGUGUUCUGGGACCUCCAGGUGUGCAGUGCUGGCCACACAGCCACCCCCAGGGGGCAGCUGGGUGGCCAGGGGUUCAGAGCGCUGGUGACCAAGGGCUGGCUGGAAAGGUGUUAGGGGAGACCAGAGGCACAUCCGCUAGGUGUGUGUGGCUGCAGAAGACCUGCUCCGUAGCAGGGGCGCAGACUUCACUUAGUGGCUCUGGAGGGCGGCCCGAGGUCAGUAGGUAGGAGUCCCACAGGGUCGGGUGUGAGUGUGGCAUCGGAGGAAGUCUGAUCGCAGGGCAGUCAGUCUGCUGGUCUGGUGAUGGAGUGAGCUGCUUUGCAAAGGAGUGACCACCUGGUUCUUGGAAAUGCCUGGAUGCCGACUCAUCAGCACCACAAACAUCAGCGUGCGGAGUAUUGCAUCCUGCCUCCUUUGAGCCGCACCACAGGCCCCGAGAGGAAGAUGCUCAUAUCCCCCUUCAUUAAAUGCGACACUUGGACUGGCUGGAGCUGGGGCCGGCCCUCCACGCUCCCAGGGCAGCUGUCCUGCGGGCUGGGCUGCCCCUCCAGGUGCUUCAGAGGGAUUGUUUUUCCUGUAGGGUAGAGGUGGGACGGGGCGGGGAACACACCCGGCAAAGUGGUAGAGAAUUGAGGGGCUAAGAUGCUAACAGCUGGGGAGAAUAAGGGGUCUCUCCAGAGGGAGACCUGUGUGGAUGACUGUGGUUAGCCUUGUCCGGGGGGUCUGAAGGGGCCGCCUGAAGGUUGAACCUGUGGCCCCAAACUCCAAGGCAGUUAGCAGGGGAGUUGUCACCACUGAAUGGCUGCAGGGAAGAAAGCGGUGUGUUUGGUAAGGCAGUGGUCCUCUGCAGCUGGCACACCCCUUCCCAAAAAUAAUUCCUCUCACUCGGGGCUGAGCUGCGCUCCUCAGGCCUCCGGUGUGGUCAGGGUGGGUCCAGCCUGCUGGCUCGGCCAGGUGAGUCAUGAGCACUGGGCACCUGUCUGUGAUGAGUUCGAAGCUGCAGAGCGGCCAGCUGCUUCCUGCCAGGUCUGAGGCAAUAGCAGCCUUCCCAGCUCCCUGCAGAUCUUGGUUUUGGCAAGAAAAAUAUUCCUGAAAGACAGAAAAAUAAUUCUCAUCUCUGGCUGCUGCAGCCUCAGCCUUCUUCACGGGUACAUCUGUAGAUUGCCUCCUGCCCUUGCGGAGCACCCGGCCGUCUCGGGAAGACAGCUUCCCAGGGCGCUCCGAGUUUCAUUAGAGAGACAAAUGCGACGUCCCUUGGUGUGAGCCAUCUGCAUUUCCGGUUCACAGCAGCCAGGGCUGGCAGUGAUGUGUCAGUGUCACUAAUAGUGGCCUGGAGCUUUUUAAAUGGUGAUCUUGUGACUUUGGGGGACCCGAGAAAUGCAUCAUGGGCUACACUUUUCUAGUCUAAGGGAAUCCGAAAGAUGUUUCUCCUGAUCAUCUGUAAUAGAAAACUAUUUUAUUUAAUUUUAUCGAUUUGCUGUUGACGGCCUCGCCCUUCCUUUUCGGGUGGACGGUUGGAAACGUCCCAGCUUCCCUGCAGUGAUAACGUGACCCCUUCAGGAGGAAUGAGCGUCCUUCCACUUGGUGCCACAAGGGACACGGCUCAUGGGGCUGGUCACUCUCCCUCCUCAGUGGGGCAGGUGGGCGUAGCCACGUGGAGGCACCAGCGUGUGUGCUGAUACGCCUGGGUUGCACAGGUGUUGAGAUUAAGUGGUGUGCCCUCUGUUCUGUGCUUGUGAACAUGCUCUGGCCCAACGUGAUGUUCUGUGGUGACAUGGGGCUAUGAGGCCCGUGGCUACUCCACGACCCUUCCAGCUGCUGCUUGUCGCAGAGGGAGCCAUAUUGUCGGUCUGCUGUGCUCUUUAGCGGUGACGCAGCAGGAAGGACCAAGCCAGGUCCAUGAGCUGCGUGGCUCUCACUUGAAAUGGUGACCACAGCCAGUAAAAUGUACUGAUGGCACCUAGUGAGAGUCUCUCCCCUCACAUUCCCGUCUUGGUAGAUCCAUUACAUCAUCUGUUUUAAUUCACCUGCAUUUGCUGAAAGGGUGCAGCGUGCAUGGGUUCCCUGGCCCCCUUCUGUGAACUUGACCCAGAUGACCUCUGCAGUCUCACCGGCCCCCUGACAGAGAGGUGGGAGGACACAGCACCAGGUAUGUGUGGUCAGGCUUUGGCCCUUCAGCUCUGCUCUUGGAGCUGAACGGGAAGGGCAGCCCAGGGCUGCAGGUCCCACACGGAUGCCUCAAAUCUCAUCCUGUAAGCUCAGCAAGAGUUGAAGUGUGAUGUUACCCCAGGGCCUCAGGGGUUCCUGUGUAUUGCGUUACUGUAUGAGAAUGUUUGUCCGUGGGUCUGCUGCACUUCGGGACUGAGAUGCUCCCCUCUGAGUGACCCGUCCACCAUCUGUGCUGCUGUGCUCGUCCGACAUCCACCUUCUGUUGUCCAAGCCCUCCCGCUGCCCUGCAUUCCAGGGCCUCAAGGACUCGACGGGCAGAGUUUCAGAAAGAGUGAGUACCGCCAGGGAGGGAGGUGUUACUGCCUGGAGGCCGUGCGCCGCCGCAUCCCCUGCCUGAGGUGGUUUUUCCUGAUUGGCUUAUGCUUAUGCUUAUUAAAAAUGUGGUUUUUUUUUUUUAAGAACAAAGUUAAAAUUGAAUGAAUGUUGAGUAAACCCUACCAAACACGGUACUACAUUAGAUUCUAUCAUUAGGAAGCUCUUGUUGAUGCUAGCUACAUUUGUUACCUGAAAAUUCUGUUAAUUUUCUAUAGUUCUGAUUUUUAAAAGCAAUAUAAAGGCAACAGAGGUAGUUGCUUUAGGCUUGUACUAUGGGAUAAAGUAUCAUGUGCCCAGCAUGUGACUUAGGUAUUCCUAAUUUUUUCUCCCAUUUUCCCUAAACUUCCAAAGUACAAGACCACAGGUUAAAAUCCAGGGGAUGUUAAGGGUUACAUUAGGGGGAUAUCUGGCUAAUUUACCAGUGACAGGGCAGCUCCUCUUCUAAGAUGUCCUUUACCAUCUCUUGUUUUCCUUUAAUGGGUUACAAAGCCAGGGCGGGUUUUAGAAGACUCAGGAUGCAAAGUUCCUUGUUGAUCCUUUGGGAGACAGACGCUCAGAGUUCCCCUCUGCAGGGCCUGAAAAAGCGGGUGGGGCCGAGGAGUCCUGUUCCCACCCCACCCCCACCCACCAAGGGUUUUUAGUCAAGGUCUCUCUCCUCUUGGUGGUGGUUCAAACUGUGACUUAGAGUUGGAUGAUUUUUUUGUGAAUAAUUAAGUUUUCUGUCAAACGGAGCUGUUCUCUCCACCCUGUGUUUUCAGGGAAGCGCCGAGAGGCAGACACGCAGAAGCGGCUGCCACGGAAGCCGCCAGAGACACGGGAGGGAUGCCCAGGUU